CUCCUUUUUAUUUUAUUUUCUUUGCGUUCUGUCUCUCUCCCCUCAAUUCCAUCUUAUUCUCAUCGACGGAUCGACCUCAAUAGUCAGUAACUCAGUAUCUCACCAGUCACUACUCAGCCGUUCAAGUUGUGGCUGCCUAGCAAUUUUUUGGGAUUCUGAGAAUUGAAAACAUUGGAGAAGGAGCUGUGAGCAAACUCAAAGUCUUAUCUCACUCAUCUGAGUCUUUGAUCUUCAAGGAAUCAGAAGGAAAAAGAUGCAGACUUGGUUCAAUCUUUAAGGGGAAGUCUUGAUAGGUUCAUUACUAGAGAACCAGAAGGUUUGGGCGAAGAUUUAGUUAAUGAAGAGGCAGAAGAGCACACUGAGAGGGAAAAUAAUGUGGAAGAGCACACUGAGAGGGAAAAUAAUGUGGAAGAACACACUGAUGGCAAUGAAGUUGUAGAUGAUUUGGAUCAUGGUGAAAAUGAGAAUGACGGGUUUGUUCAAGUAUUAUUGAUUGGUUAUUUGAUUUUAUAUUGUGAUUUUGUUCAUAUAUAAAUUUCAUAUAAGACUAAGGCUUUGAGUGCCACAUUUUAAGUUUUCGCACAGGGCCUCCGUAAAGUUUGAGACGGCC